UACGGAGGGGGCUAGCGUUGUUCGGAAUUACUGGGCGUAAAGCGUACGUAGGCGGCUUGCCAAGUCAGAGGUGAAAUCCCACGACUCAAUCGUGGAACUGCCUUUGAGACUGGUUCGCUUGAAGAUGGGAGAGGUCAGUGGAAUUCCGAGUGUAGAGGUGAAAUUCGUAGAUAUUCGGAAGAACACCAGUGGCGAAGGCGGUUACCUGGGCUUGUUCUGACGCUGAGGCACAAAAGCUGGGGGAGCAAACGGG
rnacentral:rRNA from 1 species